rnacentral:rRNA from 1 species
AUUGAACGCUGGCGGCAGGCCUAACACAUGCAAGUCGAACGAGUGGCGGACGGGUGAGUAAUGUCUGGGAACCUGCCUGAUGGCGGGGGAUAACUCCUGGAAACGGUAGCUAAUACCGCAUACCAUCAGAUGUUCCCAGAUGGGAUUAGCUUGUUGGUGGUGUAACGGCUCACCAAGGCGACGAUCCCUAGCUGGUCUGAGAGGAUGACCAGCAAAACUGGAACUGAGACACGGUCCAGACGCCUACGGGAGGAAGCAGUGGGGAAGAUGGCACAAUGGGCGCAAGCCUGAUGCAGCCAUGCCGCGUGUAUGAAGAAGGCCUUCGGGUUGUAAAGUACUUUCAGCGGGGAGGCGUUACCCGCAGAAGAAGCACCGGCUAACUACGUGCCAGCAGCCGCGGUAAUUC